UACGAAGGGGGCUAGCGUUGUUCGGAAUUACUGGGCGUAAAGCGCACGUAGGCGGGUCGUUAAGUCAGGGGUGAAAUCCCGGAGCUCAACUCCGGAACUGCCUUUGAUACUGGCGAUCUAGAGAUCGAGAGAGGUGAGUGGAAUUCCGAGUGUAGAGGUGAAAUUCGUAGAUAUUCGGAAGAACACCAGUGGCGAAAGCGGCCACCUGGACUGUACCUGACGCUGACACGCGAAAGCUAGGGGAGCGAACGGG
rnacentral:rRNA from 1 species